rnacentral:rRNA from 1 species
GACGAACGCUGGCGGCGUGCUUAACACAUGCAAGUCGAACGGAAAGGCCCUGCUUUUGUGGGGUGCUCGAGUGGCGAACGGGUGAGUAACACGUGAGUAACCUGCCCUUGACUUUGGGAUAACUUCAGGAAACUGGGGCUAAUACCGGAUAGGAGCUCCUGCUGCAUGGUGGGGGUUGGAAAGUUUCGGCGGUUGGGGAUGGACUCGCGGCUUAUCAGCUUGUUGGUGGGGUAGUGGCUUACCAAGGCUUUGACGGGAAGCCGGCCUGAGAGGGUGACCGGCCACAUUGGGACUGAGGUACGGCCCAGACUCCUACGGGAGGCAGCAGUGGGGAAUAUUGCACAAUGGGCGGAAGCCUGAUGCAGCAACGCCGCGUGCGGGAUGACGGCCUUCGGGUUGUAAACCGCUUUCGCCUGUGACGAAGCGUGAGUGACGGUAAUGGGUAAAGAAGCACCGGCUAACUACGUG